rnacentral:rRNA from 1 species
GAUGAACGCUGGCGGCGUGCCUAGUACAUGCAAGUCGAGCGAACGGACGAGAAGCUUGCUUCUCUGAUGUUAGCGGCGGACGGGUGAGUAACACGUGGAUAACCUACCUAUAAGACUGGGAUAACUUCGGGAAACCGGAGCUAAUACCGGAUAAUAUUUUGAACCGCAUGGUUCAAAAGUGAAAGACGGUCUUGCUGUCACUUAUAGAUGGAUCCGCGCUGCAUUAGCUAGUUGGUAAGGUAACGGCUUACCAAGGCAACGAUGCAUAGCCGACCUGAGAGGGUGAGCGGCCACACUGGAACUGAGACACGGUCCAGACUCCUACGGGAGGCAGCAGUAGGGAAUCUUCCGCAAUGGGCGAAAGCCUGACGGAGCAACGCCGCGUGAGUGAUGAAGGUCUUCGGAUCGUAAAACUCUGUUAUUAGGGAAGAACAUAUGUGUAAGUAACUGUGCACAUCUUGACGGUACCUAAUCAGAAAGCCACGGCUAACUACGUG